ensembl:snoRNA
AGGUCAUUCAAAGAGAGUUUGCAGGCCUUGAAGCCAGGAACUCUAAAGGCUAUGACAAGAGAUUGAAGUUCUCCAUAGGAUGCCAUAGUCAUUCAAUAGUGCUAUGUUUUCCUGAAGGGAUAGAAGA